CUGCCCCUUUACCGACAGUGAGUUUCAACUUCAUCGGCGGCGGGUCGAUGUUGUUGAAACCGGAAGACUAUCUCGUCCAGCUAGGUUCCCUUGGACCGGCUUCCUUGCAUUGCAUAGGCUUUCAGAAAGCUCCGGAUGGACUAAUCGUUCUUGGAGAGUUGGUACUUAAGAACAAGAUCAUUGUAUAUGAUCUUGGUCAGCAGCGUAUCGGGUGGACUCCCUAUGAUUG